UACGUAGGGUGCAAGCGUUGUCCGGAAUUAUUGGGCGUAAAGAGCUCGUAGGCGGUUUGUCGCGUCUGCUGUGAAAACUCAGGGCUUAACCCUGAGCCUGCAGUGGGUACGGGCAGACUAGAGUGUGGUAGGGGAGAUCGGAAUUCCUGGUGUAGCGGUGGAAUGCGCAGAUAUCAGGAGGAACACCGGUGGCGAAGGCGGAUCUCUGGGCCAUAACUGACGUGGAGGAGCGAAAGCAUGGGGAGCGAACAG
rnacentral:rRNA from 1 species